CUGGUCGUGGGGGCGGCGGUCACUCCGUGGGCGCUGCUGGUGCCCGGCGCGUACGCCGCCGGGAUCGUCGCCGGCUCGGUUCCCGCGGGCCGGG
rnacentral:tRNA from 1 species